rnacentral:rRNA from 1 species
UAAGGAAUAUUGGACAAUGGGCGGAAGCCUGAUCCAGCCAUCCCGCGUGCUUGAUGAAGGCCCUCUGGGUUGUAAAGAGCUUUAGUCUGGGAAGAAACUUGUUUCUGCGGAAGCAACUGACGGUACCAGAAGAAUAAGCACCGGCUAACUCCGUGCCAGCAGCCGCGGUAAUACGGAGGGUGCAAGCGUUAUCCGGAUUUACUGGGUUUAAAGGGUGCGUAGGCGGCAAUAUAAGUCAGGGGUGAAAGCCUAGGGCUCAACCUUAGAAAUGCCUUUGAUACUGUAUUGCUUGAAUUAGAUUGAGGUCGGCGGAAUGUGGCAUGUAGCGGUGAAAUGCAUAGAUAUGCCAUAGAACACCAAUUGCGAAGGCAGCUGACUAAGUCUAGAUUGACGCUGAGGCACGAAAGCGUGGGGAGCAAACAGG